CUUAGCUAUCACACUUUGAGGGAUGAAUGCCUGCAUCAUAACAAGCAAUAAUACAUCCAGAUAUUAAUCUCAAUAAUCUAACCAGGGCUCGUGGACCCCUUGGAUCUAUCUGCGAAGGAGAUGAAGAGCCUAUGUGACUUUUGAGGUUGCUUGGUCAUAUCUAAACAGAAAGCCAAUGCCCUUCUAACAUCUAGUGCAUGAAAACAGGACUCCUGCAGAGAACUGUGGCUUUGUAACAGAUACUGGUAGAUGAAAGGAUUGGUUAAAGUGGAAUUCCAACAGAACCUUGGGUGUGUCUGACUGGAGAAUAAGUUAUGAGCCAACCCUGGAGGCAGUGGAGAUGUUCCCUCCUCGCGUGAUCGGUCAGAAAGGUGCAAGCUGCCAUAUGCCCCAGAAGCUGAAGACAAGUUCCUUAUUGUGGUUCAAAGGCUCCCCUGAAUUGCCCACACCAGACCUGACACCUUUACAAAUCUGUCUAAGGGAAGGUAGGCCGUAGCUGUCAACGAGUCCAAUGAUGCCCCUAUAAACUACCAUCUGUACAGGAAUUAAUGUGGAAUUUUUUUUUAACAUUCAGCUAACGACCGAAUUCCUGGAACAGAGCAAGGGCUGCCUGGGUGGAAGAUAGCACCGCUUUGUAGGAGCAACCCUUGACUAACCAGUCAUUGAAGUACAGGAAAACUAGGGUCACUUCUUGUCAGAGGUGUGUAGUAGCCUUAGAGUUCUUCAGUGUGUGUAAGAACUCAUCCAUGGUCUCCGAGAAAAGCUUAUGGCUGUCGAAGGGAAAGUCCUCAACAAUGUUCUGUACUUCUCUUGGAAACCUCAAGAUUUGGAGCCAUGAUGCCAUGUGCAUCACUACCACUGUGGAGAUGGACUUGGCAGCCAUGUCUGCAGAAUCCAAGGAUGCUUGAAGACCAGUAAUUGGCACCUUCAAAUAGUGGACUGGAAAUGCUCCCUACGUUCUUGUGGGAGAUGGUCAAUAUAGGCUGUAAAUCUAUGGUAGUUUGUAAAAUUAUAUUUGGCCAUGACCACCUGAUAGUUCGCAAUCAUGAACCACAGUAUUACUGAUGAGUAGGACUUCCAUCCAAAGAGAUCCAGUCUCUUUUGGUCUUUGUCAUAUGGGGGUAGAAUUGGAGAAGUGUUGCCUACCCUGCAUCCACAUUCAUUUACCGCACCCGCCACCAAAGAGCUAGGAGGAGUGGGGAGAACAAAAAAAAAAAAAACAAAAAACCACCAGAAUCCCGGGGAGCAUGUGGGGGUGGGGAAGGGACAUACUACUCCUUAUCCAUCCACUCACACAUUAGCAGAGUGGUGGCAGGUGUUUGGCACACAGUCUUAGGUGGACCCUCAUUAAUGGGUAAUGCCACUCUGGAGGAUGUUGCUGAUUGCAGGAUAUCCAACCGUUUGUGCUGAGAGUCCUUGACCUCUGAGUGCAAUUUGAAGAGUGUCAGCUACUCUCUUUAUGAGGUCUUCAAAUUACUGAAACUUGUCAGCCAUGGAAGGUGGCAGAGGCAUAACCUCCUCAUCUGAAGAUGAGGUUGUGAUGUUAUUGACAUGAACUGGGACCGUAUAGAUCAUCGUUGCAACCAAAGUCCUGUAGUGGCACCAAAUCUUGUAUAAAGGGAGGGUCAAAUAAGGUGUCUGAGA